AAGACUAUACUUUCAGGGAUUAUUUCUAUAGUUCGUUACUAGAGAAGUUUCUCUGAAUGUUUAAUGUUGAUUUAUUUUUGAGAGAGAGACACACACACAAA
ensembl:snoRNA U3 Small nucleolar RNA U3